rnacentral:lncRNA from 1 species
UAAAAGAAGAGCAAAAUUGGUUCAAAGAGGAAGAUUUGAAGAAGUGGAAGGUUAAUCAAUUAGGCACUGGACUAAGCUUGAAAAAUUUGGGGGGUAUUUGGUUCAUGAUUGGAAUCAGAAUGGGAGUCAGAAUCGGAAUGGAUUGGAAUCGGAAUCAGAAUCGGAAUGGCCUAAUCCCCUGAAGCAUUUAGUUCGUGAUCGAAA